rnacentral:rRNA from 1 species
ACCAGGAUGUUGGCUUAGAAGCAGCCAUGCAUUUAAAGAGUGCGUAACAGCUCACUGGUCAAGUGGACAUGCGCCGACAAUUCACGGGGCUAAGCAUAACACCGAAGCGGCGGACUAAUCUAUAUUAGUGGUAGGGGAGCUUUCCCCGCAGCGGAGAAGCCGAGAGGGCGACCCUCGGUGGAGCGCGGGGAAGUGAGAAUGCUGGCAUGAGUAACGAGAGCGGCGCGAGAAACGCCGCCGCCGUAAGCCUAAGGGUUCCUGGGCAAGGCUAAUCCUCCCAGGGUCAGUCGGGAGCUAAGGCGAGGCCGAGAGGCGUAGCCGAUGCGCAACAGGCGGACAUUCCUGUACCGCCUGCGGACCGCUAUCACCGACGGGGUGACGGAGAAGGGUAGCCGAGCGGGGUUCUGGACGUCCCCGUGAAAGCGCGUAGGGCGCGGAGCAUGGAAAUCAGCUCCGCAGAAAGCCUGAGACGCGAGACGAAAGCUUAUGCUGAAGUCGGCGAGCCCAUGCUUCCGAGAAAAACCUCUAGGAAGGGACGCAGGCGCCCGUACCAAAACCGACACAGGUGGGCAGGUAGAGCAUACCGAGGCGAUCGGGAGAACCAUGGUUAAGGAACUCGGCAUACUGACUCCGUAACUUCGGGAGAAGGAGUGCCCCUGGCGGUGACGGGACUUGCUCCCCGAGCGGCCGGGGGUCGCAGCGAAACGGCCCAAGCGACUGUUUAUCAAAAACACAGGACUCUGCAAAGCCGUAAGGCGACGUAUAGGGUCUGACGCCUGCCCGGUGCUGGAAGGUUACGCGGAUGGGUCAGCCGCAAGGCGAAGCUCUGAA